rnacentral:lncRNA from 1 species
GCAGUGUCUGCCUUCACUUGAGAACUCCAAGUACUGCCGUUUCAACCAGGAUUCAGAAGCAGCGCGAGAUUCCCUCCUGUCAUCAAAGAAGGCUGCUCCAUCUCCUGCCUCAAUGCUCAGAUCCAAUCAGCAAGAAAUGUGGAGAGAGCAGGGGAAGGCAAGCUCCUGCCUUUUAAGGUCAGCACCUGGAUAUCCCUUCCACUCACUUCCCAAUAGCAAGAACUUAGUCGCAAGGCCACACCCAGCUGCAAGGGAGGCUGGGAAAUGUAGUCUUUAACUGGGUGACCAUGUGUCUCUUCACUCUGCUAUAUGCAGGCUCUGUAGGCUAUCAAUUCUCUGAGUUUGAUGUGUAUACACAUCACCUGGGGAUCUUGUUAAAGUGAAGAUUCUGAUUCAGUAGGCAUGGGUUAGUGGGAGAGGGUGUUGGAAUUCUGAGUUUCCCGCAAUCCCACAGUUGGAGGGAUGCUGUUGGUUCUCUGACCACAUAAGCUGGAAGGGGGCUGAUGACCGCACUGGCAGGGCUGUCUGCCCUCAGGAUGGCUCCGUCUUGCAGGACACUGUGGUCUUCAUUAAUCUGUCACUAUUACUCCUGUGGCUCUUUGGGUAAAUACCUUUGAAGGAUAUUGAGUAUUUGUAUUAAAUAUCCAAAUAAUGGACCAGUGUACAAAGUAAUUGGAAGGCUCUUUGCCCAGAGUCAUUUCUGUAUUAGCUUUUGUUUAGAAUUUGGAGUUUUCCCUUAGGAUUAGCAAGUUUCAGUUACGGUAUUAUUAGCAUAAUAAUGUUUAAAAUGAGUUAUUUUCCAAGUAGAAAACAAACCACAGUAGCAUCCAGAUUUCUUGGCACUAUAAAUAUUUAGGUGUGUGGCCCUCAUCCAACUUUCUUCAAACACUUUAUGCCAGUAUAAAUAGCAUUUUUAUUUCCUAGAGACAUCUAAGCACUCCAAGGCCCAUAAAUAUGUUAUAUAUUACAUUUUGUUCAUAAAAAUAAAAAGAACAUCCCCAGAAGUGUUCUUUGCCUCCUUGGGUGAGCCACCUCUGCCCGGCCUCUCACUGCACCCUCCACCUCCCUAGAGCAUCCCUGAACCGUCAGCUCCAGGAUGGCAGCCCUGUGUCACUCUUGUUCACCCCUGUGUCCCAUAGCCUAGAACAUUCCCAGUCCCCGGGGCUAGAUUUUGAAGUUUGGAUUUCUCAGUUUGUUUUGUCCCCAGCAACUGGCCUUUUCUGCUUGACCUGGCAGUGCCUGGCGCAGGGGCUUUGAUCUGCCUCCAGCGAGGCACCACCGGGGCUUAUCAGAAUAGCCCAGGCUUGUUAGGAAGAUUACAAGAGGGAAGGGGAGCGGAAGCACUUUGUGAAUCACAGAGUGAGGUACAAACUCAGUAGAGCAUUACUCUGUGUAAUAAUGAUACAUUAUUAUAAUUUUUGCACACUUACGUGUGCCAGGAAGUCAAUGCUGUGCCUAAAUCCCUCCUUUAGUGAUGCUCUCCAUUUCACAAGCGGAGAGACCGAGCUUCCGCGAUGGGGCCGAGUCCCUCAGCCAGGUGGGCGGGCCUAGGACUCCCACCAGGGUCUCCCGAGCCUGUGCCAAGAGGUGAGAACGUGUUUGGGGCUGUGUUCAGACCUGAGUCUGGAUUUUUUUUUCCUUGCAAUUAUAUUUCAUUUCCUUUCAUAUUCCAGCGCCGUCACCUACCGGGACUGCCUCCUGGCACCUUUUUCGUUCAUGGCCUUUCUCAUCCUUCCUGAUACGUGCCGCACAGGUGUGGGCCGUGUCUAAGCUUUGUGUCUUGGCACCGUAUUUGCAGGGCAUCUAAACCUGGGUCUGAACGUUCGGUUCUCCUGCGGGGGAGAGAGGAGAGCAGGAGCACAGUGUGAAGGAAGGCAGGGAGAGAAGCACAGACUGACAGACGCCUCCCGCCCGGCCGUCCCGGCCCUGCAGUCUGUCUGGACCCGUAUCUCAGCCUGUGCUGCAUGUGUCAGUCCAGAUAAUGUUUAUUUCCCCCUCCUCCCUCCAACUUUGAAAAUCUCUUACCCUACAGUGUGUAAAAUAGGAAUGCUGUGCGCUCUAGAGAGAAGCACAAAAAAAUGGAAAGGAAAUUUACCUUACCGCCUCUGGACUUCUCAAUGAGCACUUUUAAAGAUGCUUAAUGAAGCAUGGGGCUUCUUUAGAGCAGACUCACAUUCAGGCUGCAAGCUUUGGUUUUUUUUUUUUUUCUCCCCCCAUCUCGGCUCUUUCUCCCCCACCCCUAGCUCCAAACAGCUCCCAUCUACCACCCCUGAACCAGGCGGCAAAUGUCCCAUGGCUCCCUCCCCCAAAUCAGCGCUUGGGGAGGUGGGGGUGGGGGAGAAAGCGGAUUUGGGGAGUGACCUGAGCGGUCAGCUUCGGUGAAAUGUGCACAAUAAACUUCUAUCUGGACUGAGUUCUUCUGUGAAGUGGCGAUCACUUCCCAGACAGACAAGCCCUGGAGGACCCGCCGUUCUGCAUCUUUUAAUCACCGUUGCUAUGGAGAAAGCCACUAUUUCAUUAGAGAAAGCGCCUUAACGCAAUUAACACAUAGUUCAGUUGUUCCCCAUCCCUUUGGGCUCUGGGGUGGAGGGGGUUCUGGGGUAUUGCUUUCCCCAGGGGCCCCCAGGAAACCACAGGCCAAACAGCACAGGGAGCGCUCCCAGGAAGUAAACGCUGGGCAGCUCCAGACUGGCUUGUAGAUGAAGGGAUGUCAAAAGGAAGACCGGGCUUAAAAUUCACAAAAAACCUCAGGAUGAGGGUUGACUCAGUGUUUCAGAGCACAACAAAACAAAAUAAAGACAAAGUUUCUGCUGGCUACUUUCUGAGUUCGGAAUUAUACUGGAAAGCUCCACACAUCCUCUGGUGAAAGUGAGUUUUCUACCGUUUCUUGUUUCAUUUAGGUUUGGUCCCCCAGCCCUGGGACAAGUCAGUAGCCGGGCUGAGCGUGCGAGACAUGACCACUGCCCCCGAGCCUGACCCUCUGCCUGGCUGCCGUCUGAAACUCCCUUUCACGAGCCCCUUUGCAAACAGGGAAGAUAAUAUUUUCUACUUAACUGGGCCAUCAUAAGAAACUCCCCAGGGUCCCUGCCUGGCUAGAAAAAGGAAAUGCUAAUAAAAAUGAUGAGUUUUGAUGGCUCUGAAAUGAGCACUUGGGAAAGAGGUUUCUAAAGUUACUAAAUUCUGGGCAUUUCCCAAGAGCAGGGCUGUAGUUUCGGGGUCCUGUCCUCGUAGAGUAAAAGACUCAAGUGACAACUUAGCUCUCAAUUAACAGCAUUAAAAAAAAAAUAAAAAAA